AGAUUCCCACUGUCCCUAUCUACUAUCUAGCGAAACCACAGCCAAGGGAACGGGCUUGGAAAAAUCAGCGGGGAAAGAAGACCCUGUUGAGCUUGACUCUAAUCUGGCAUUGUUCGGAGACAUGCCGAGGUGUAGCAUAAGUGGGAGUCGGGGGUCUAGGCGGGCGGUCUCGCGGCCGUCCGUCUCCCCGUCGACCUUGAAAUACCACUACUCGCAUCGUUUCCCCACUUACUCGGUAGAGCGGAACGCGCGGUUCCGGCCGCGGGUGCGUCCGGCCGUCGGCC
rnacentral:ncRNA from 1 species